rnacentral:rRNA from 1 species
AGUCGAGCGGAAAGGCUUCCUUCGGGGGGUACUCGAGCGGCGAACGGGUGAGUAACACGUGAGUGAUCUGCCCUUCACUUUGGGAUAACUGCCUGAAAGGGUGGCUAAUACCGGAUAUUCCUGUCAUGUCGCAUGGUGUGGUGGGGAAAGGUUUGUUCUGGUGGGGGAUGUGCUCGCGGCCUAUCAGCUUGUUGGUGGGGUAAUGGCCUACCAAGGCUUUGACGGGUAGCCGGCCUGAGAGGGUGACCGGCCACACUGGGACUGAGACACGGCCCAGACUCCUACGGGAGGCAGCAGUGGGGAAUAUUGGACAAUGGGCGGAAGCCUGAUCCAGCAACGCCGCGUGAGGGAUGACGGCCUUCGGGUUGUAAACCUCUUUCAGCACAGACGAAGCUGACUCCACGUGUGGGGUGGGUGACGGUAUGUGCAGAAGAAGCACCGGCCAACUACGUGCCAGCAGCCGCGGUAAUACGUAGGGUGCGAGCGUUGUCCGGAAUUAUUGGGCGUAAAGGGCUCGUAGGCGGUUUGUCGCGUCGGGAGUGAAAUCCACUGGCUUAACUGGUGGCUUGCUUUCGAUACGGGCAGACUGGAGGUAUGCAGGGGAGAACGGAAUUCCUGGUGUAGCGGUGAAAUGCGCAGAUAUCAGGAGGACACCGGUGGCGAAGGCGGUUCUCUGGGCAUGUCCU